GAUUAUUUGAAUGGCCGCAGUACCCUGACUGUGCUAAGGUAGCGUGAUUCUUGUUUUCUUAAUUAGAAAUCUGUUCAAAGAAUGUAAUGGAGAGGAACUAUUGUUUUCAUAUAAAGUGAAUUUAAAUUGUUAGUGAAAAUUCUGACAAAUGUUUAAAAGACGAGAAGACCCCAUAAAACUUAAUUUGAAGUAUUCUUUAAUAUCUUAAAAUUUAGAUGGGGACUUUAGAGUAAAUAAAUAACUUAAAGACCUAUUGAU
rnacentral:rRNA from 1 species